CUAUAAUGCAGUCGAGCGGACAGAAGGGAGCUUGCUCCCGGAUGUUAGCGGCGGACGGGUGAGUAACACGUGGGUAACCUGCCUGUAAGACUGGGAUAACUCCGGGAAACCGGAGCUAAUACCGGAUAGUUCCUUGAACCGCAUGGUUCAAGGAUGAAAGACGGUUUCGGCUGUCACUUACAGAUGGACCCGCGGCGCAUUAGCUAGUUGGUGGGGUAAUGGCUCACCAAGGCGACGAUGCGUAGCCGACCUGAGAGGGUGAUCGGCCACACUGGGACUGAGACACGGCCCAGACUCCUACGGGAGGCAGCAGUAGGGAAUCUUCCGCAAUGGACGAAAGUCUGACGGAGCAACGCCGCGUGAGUGAUGAAGGUUUUCGGAUCGUAAAGCUCUGUUGUUAGGGAAGAACAAGUGCGAGAGUAACUGCUCGCACCUUGACGGUACCUAACCAGAAAGCCACGGCUAACUACGUGCCAGCAGCCGCGGUAAUACGUAGGUGGCAAGCGUUGUCCGGAAUUAUUGGGCGUAAAGGGCUCGCAGGCGGUUUCUUAAGUCUGAUGUGAAAGCCCCCGGCUCAACCGGGGAGGGUCAUUGGAAACUGGGAAACUUGAGUGCAGAAGAGGAGAGUGGAAUUCCACGUGUAGCGGUGAAAUGCGUAGAGAUGUGGAGGAACACCAGUGGCGAAGGCGACUCUCUGGUCUGUAACUGACGCUGAGGAGCGAAAGCGUGGGGAGCGAACAGGAUUAGAUACCCUGGGUAGUCCACGCCGUAAACGAUGAGUGCUAAGUGUUAGGGGGUUUCCGCCCCUUAUGCUGCAGCUAACUCAUUAAGCACUCCGCCUGGGAGUACGGUCGCAGACUGAUACUCAAAGAAUUGACGAGGGCGCGCGCGAGCGCUUGAGCAUGUGUUUAAUUCAAGCAACGCCAACAACAUUACCAGGCUGACGUCGUCUUACAACCCUAGAAGAAGUGCUUGUCCAUCGAGAAGAAUGCCAGUGUUUGCAUCGCUUGUGUCGCUCCAUCCGAAAAUGUUUGCUCAGUCCGAAACGAUCGCACCCGU
rnacentral:rRNA from 1 species